rnacentral:misc_RNA from 1 species
GCCACUACUUCUCUGAUACUGAUGAGGAAAAUGAAGAGAUCUAUUUCGAAGUGGAGUAUAAAGAGGUUGAAGAAGAAGAGAAUCUUGCAAGUUAUUAAUUUAAAUUUAGUGAUGGUGAUGAUGUAAGAGACUAAAUUACUCUUGAUAAUCAGUAGUUGUCUUAUAGUUGUUUAGGAAUUAUUGCCAUUUAGUGGCAUGCAGGUUUAUAAUUUAAGACUUCUUAACAUCUUUAAUUCUAUUUUUUAUUUGGAUACUGAAAAAUGUUGGUGUUGGAAUUCUAAGUGCCUGUUUACUUAUGUAAAACAAUUAUUU